GAUACGGUGAAUGUCGGAUUGCUUUUCUUUAAGUCUUAUAUUCCAUUGUGUAUACAACAUUUGCAUAGGUGCAGAUAGAGGGUGAUAGAGCAACGGGUUAUGGACCUACCUUACUGAACACUCUAUUUGGAGGAAAGUCUUCAAACAAACUUCUACAGUCUAUAGCCCCUGCAAUGCCACUGUGGGAACGUGAGGGGAUGGAGGUGGAGGAAAAUAAUGACAACAGCAAGAAAGCCAAAAUACAAACAGAGUGAACAAAUUCUGCUGGUACAGCAAAAAAUAUAUAUGUGCACUUAGAUAAGGAACAAUAUAAAGUCUCUGUUUUGAAUAAUUUCCUUAUUUAAUCUUUUAAUUUGUAAAUUUUUUAAUUUAAAUGAUUGAUUUAUGAAAAAAAAAUAUCCUGGAAGAAAAAUUUUAAGUUUUUCUUUCCUUGUUUCUAAAGUGUAGAAUGUAUUUAUGAUUAUUUUGCACCAAAAAAUCUAGACUGUUUUUAGGAUGUACGCUGUCUCAGUUUGACAUUUAGCUAGAAUUUAAUGUUGACAACAGAGUCCGACAUGGCAUUUUAAGCGUGUAUUUAUAUAACACCAAACAGUACAUAAGUUUUUAGGAAGAUUUAAAAGUACGUUGUACAUGUUUAUCUGAAAUAGAUAUGAUAAAAAUAUGAAUUGCCUAAUGCUAACUAUUGUCUGUGAUUUUUUUCUUUUUCAAAAAAAAAAAUUCAGUGCUCUCCCUUUGGAGGUAUUGAGUUGUCUUUCUUAACAAUUUGUGAUGUGUUGUUUUUGUUAAAGUAUGGAAGACAGGCUUUUAAUAAAUUACAAAAAAAAUUGAUAAGGUUCAUUAUUAUUUAACAAGUUUUCUGUUCCUUUUGGUGUUAAUUUCAUGUAAAAUUCUAUUUAUUUUGACCAGAAGAUGUGUUAAAAGGGAAGUAACUUGGUUUGAAUAAGACAUGUCCUGAUUUUUUUUGAUUUUUUUUGUUUGCAUGUUAUAUUUCAAUAGACCAAAUAUAGGACUUUGCAAAGGGGAGAUAACUUUGUGUCAGUCAUGACAUUUUUUUCUAUGGCAUGUAAAUUGCAUGUGGAGUUUAUGUAAUCAGAUAAAAGAGAAAAUACUUUUUCAAGGGAGAUAAUGCACAUAUUCUGACCUGUGAUAUUCACUUGGGUAUAAUUUUGAAUAUAACAUGGUGUAUGUAUCAAUAAAACAUGAUUUAUUUGUUAAUAAUGAUAAUUAUAUUUGUUGAUAUAACAUUAUAUAAUUAUUGAUAUAACAUGAUGUAAUGUGGAUACACUUUCAUAGCAAAGGAUAAUUAAUAUGCAAUAUUCUAUAUAAAAAAGUAAACACAAUAGUUGAGGACAGAAGUUACAACCCCUGAAUAUGAAACCUUCAUUAUUUUAUGUUCCGUCCUUUUUCAGGACGGAUUAUUGUUCUUUAGAAAUUCUUUAAAAAAAUCCAAAAUUUUGCUGCAAUGAUGAACAAUGCAUAGAUUUGUUUGUUUGUAUAUUUAUUUAUUUGUAAUUUUUUUGUUUAUUUUUUUAUGUGAACAACCAUACUUAUAUCAAGUAAUGAAUUAUUGGAAAAAUUGAGCCUAUCAAGAUCAAAAUGUACCAUUUAUAAAUUACUAUUUUCAAAAUAAAUCAUUUUGUACCACAGAAUCAGGAGACCGAUUUGUAUCACAUAUGUAAGCUUGUCAAAAAAACUUUGCACAUAAUGAUUAAAAUAAAAACUAUCAGAAA